rnacentral:rRNA from 1 species
GACGUAGGGCGCGAGCGUUGUCCGGAAUCAUUGGGCGUAAAGAGCGCGCAGGCGGCUUGGCAAGUCGGGUGUGAAAUCCCGGGGCUCAACCCCGUGACUGCAUCCGAUACUGUCAGGCUAGAGGUAGGUAGGGGAGAUCGGAAUUCCUGGUGUAGCGGUGAAAUGCGCAGAUAUCUGGAGGAACACCGGUGGCGAAGGCGGCAUCCUGGACCGAUACUGACGCUGAGGAGCGAAAGCCAGGGGAGCAAAGCGGGG